rnacentral:rRNA from 1 species
GAUGAACGCUGGCGGCGUGCCUAAUACAUGCAAGUCGAGCGAACAGACGAGGAGCUUGCUCCUUUGACGUUAGCGGCGGACGGGUGAGUAACACGUGGGUAACCUACCUAUAAGACUGGGAUAACUUCGGGAAACGGGAGAUAAUACCGGAUAAUAUUUCGAACCGCAUGGUUCGAUAGUCAAAGAUGGCUCUGCUAGCCCGUAUAGAUGGACCUGCGCCGUAUUAGCUAGUUGGUAAGGUAACGGGUUACCAAGGCAACGAUACGUAGCCGACCUGAGAGGGUGAUCGGCCACACUGGAACUGAGACACGGUCCAGACUCCUACGGGAGGCAGCAGUAGGGAAUCUUCCGCAAUGGGCGAAAGCCUGACGGAGCAACGCCGCGUGAGUGAUGAAGGUCUUCGGAUCGUAAAACUCUGUUAUUAGGGAAGAACAAACGUGUAAGUAACUGUGCACGUCUUGACGGUACCUAAUCAGAAAGCCACGGCUAACUACGUGCCAGCCGCCGCAGUAA